GCAGCAGUGUUUGUUGAACACCAACAACCAUUCACAGUAUACUUUGCCCAAAUAUAGAAGGAUUCAUCUUUCUGCGCCCACAUGAUCUAAAGCAUGGUGGAAAAUAAAUGAUGACUGACUUUCUUACUUCUGUAUCAUGGAACGAAGCCCUCGUGCCCUUUGAAAAGAUGCUGGACGAUACAGUCAUAACCCCCAGUACAGGUCAGCUCCCCAUUCUGGCAACAUUGGGGAAGAUGGAAUAACAGUAUCUCACUGAACCCAGAACAGUGGAACCAGCUAAAAGAUCAGAUCAAGGCUGGAGAUAACAUUCAUUCACACCUGCCUGCUGCCAUUCCUGAGCAAGUUCUGUACUGGUGGUGCCCCGAUCCCACAGCUGAAUCAACUUUAGGAGACGGUCCUGGCGCUUGCUGG